AUGAAAGAUCAAUUUGCCGGCCUUCCUAGUGAAGAUGCCGCUACUCAUCUAAACAACUUUGUUGAUUUGUGUGAUAUGCAAAAGAAGAAAGAUACAGAUAACAAUAUUGUCAAAUUGAAGUUAUUCCCGUUUUCACUUAGAGAUCGUCCUAAAGUUUGGUUUUCGUCUUUGCCUAAAAAUAGUAUUGAUUCUUGGAACAAGUGCAAAGAUGUUUUUGUCUCUAAGUAUUUUCCUCCCGCUAAGAUCAUCACUCUUAGGAACGAUAUCAUGAAUUUUAAACAACUUGAUCAUGAGCAUGUUGCCCAAUCUAGGGAAAGAAUGAAAUUGAUGCUUCGCAAUUGCCCUACUCAUGGUCUGAAUUUAUGGAUGAUCAUACAAAAAUUUUAUGCCGGUUUGAACUUUUCUUCUAGAAAUUACUUAGAUUCGGCCGCGGGAGGCACGUUUAUGGAAAUCACGUUAGGAGAUGCUACAAAAAUACUUGAUAAUAUUAUGGCUAAUUAUUCUCAAUGGCACACCGAAAGGUCUUCUAGUAAAAAAGUGCAUGCUAUAGAAGAAAUCAAUGUUUUGAGUGGAAAGAUGGACGAACUUAUGAAGAUGUUUGCUACUAAAAAUACUCCUCUUGAUCCCAAUGAUAUGUCUGUGUCUUCUUUGAUUGAGAAUAAUAAUGAAUCUAUGGAUGUUACUUUUGUUGGUAGGUAUAGUUUUGGAAACAAUGCUUAUAGAGGAAACUUUAAUGCUAGACCGUUCCCUAGUAAUUCCUCUAAUAAUUAUGGAAAUUCCUACAAUAAUUCUUAUGGUAAUUUUAAUAAGAUGCCCUCUGAUUUUGAGAAUAGUGUGAAAGAAUUUAUGAUUUCUCAAAAGAAUUUUAAUGCUUUGCUUGAAGAAAAAUUGCUCAAAGUUGAUGAUUUGGCAAGGAACGUUGAUAGACUUUCUCUUGAUGUUGAUUCUCUUAAACUUAGAUCUUCUCCUCCUAAGCAUGAUAUCAACGAGUCUCUCAAAGUAAUGAGAAUUUCCAUUGAGGAGUGUAAGGAAAGAACCGCUAGAUUGCGUGCUAAGAAAGAUAGCUUUAUAAAAGUGUGUUCUUCUAGUUUCCAUGAAAAUAAUGAUGAGGAUCUUAAAGUUAUUGAUGUGUCUCCUAUUAUAUCUAUGUUUUGCAAUAUGAAUUUUGAUGAUUAUGGGACUGAUGAUGAAUCAACUUCGCCUAGAAGGCGUCCCAAAAAUUCGGAGCCUUUAGAUCUUGAUGCUAAAUUUGGUAAAAGUGAGAUUGGAGAAUCCUCAACUUCUAAUAACAUUGCACCUACUAUUCCGGAUUUAAGGAAUUUGAUUAUGAUAAUUGCUCUUUAA
rnacentral:rRNA from 1 species